rnacentral:piRNA from 1 species
UCCGUUUGCAAGGUGAGUUACCAGGUU